rnacentral:rRNA from 1 species
ACGGCUCAGUAACACGUGGUCAAUCUAGCCUAUGGACGGGGAUAACCUCGGGAAACUGAGGAUAAACCCCGAUAGAUCAUUAUGCCUGGAACGGUUUAUGGUCCAAACGAUUCGUCGCCAUAGGGUGGGACUGCGGCCUAUCAGCUUGUUGGUGAGGUAAUGGCCCACCAAGGCUAUUACAGGUACCGGGCUCUGAGAGGAGAAGCCCGGAGAUGGGUACUGAGACACGGACCCAGGCCCUAUGGGGCGCAGCAGGCGAGAAACCUUUGCAAUGUGCGCAAGCACGACAAGGUUAAUCCGAGUGUCUCCUGCUAAAGGAAUCUUUUGUUAGUUGUAAAACCACUGAUGAGUAAGGGGUGGGCAAGUUCUGGUGUCAGCCGCCGCGGUAAAACCAGCACCUCAAGUGGUCAGGAUGAUAUUGGGCCUAAAGCAUCCGUAGCCUGUUCUGUAAGUUUCCGGUUAAAUCCAUUAGCUCAACUAAUGGGCUGCCGAAAAUACUGCAAAACUAGGGAGUGGGGGAGGUAGACGGUACUCGGUAGGAAGGGGUAAAAUCCUUUGAUCUAUUGAUGACCACCUGUGGCGAAGGCGGUCUACCAGAACACGUUCGACUGGUGAGGGAUGAAAGCUGGGGGAGCAAACCGGAUUAGAUACCCGGGUAGUCCCAGCUGUAAACGAUGCAGACUCGGUGAUGCCCUGGCUUGUGGCCAGUGCAGUGCCGCAGGGAAGCCGUUAAGUUUGCCGCCUGGGAAGUACGUACGCAAGUAUGAAACUUAAAGGAAUUGGCGGGGGAGCAC